rnacentral:tRNA from 1 species
GGCUCAGUGGUAGAGCACUUGCCUUGCAUGCAUGAGGCCCUGAGUUCGAUUCCUCAG